GCCACGGUGUCACCGCCUCCAGCUGAGUGUAGAGAGGACGACACAGCAGUGAUUCAGAUAGCUUGUGUCAUAAAACACUGCCACACGUCAUCUUUCAACAGAGCUUAGAAUUAUCCGUGUGUUACUCUGCCAUCUGUGAAACUGUAGCCUUGGAGUAAUUAAGAGCUUACAGGUGUCUGGGUGAGGGCUGAUUCAUUUAUGUUUGGUGGUUCCCUCGUUCAGGUUUUCGAGACAAGAAGGAGACAAUAAAGCUUUAAGAGAGGGAACAGUCUAGAAUUAUCCGUGUGUUACCUCGCCACCUGCGGUACUGUAGCCAUGAAGUAAUCAAGAGAUUACAGGUGUCUUGAUAGUAUGGUUGAGCACUGAUUGAUUGAUUUUUUGGUGGUCUCCUUGUUCAAGAUUUCGAGACAAGAAUGAGACAACGGAAAGCUUUGAGAGAGGGAACCAGUUUGUCAGUCACUCAGUUUGGAAGCGGCGGGUGUGUGAGAAGGAUGCGUGUGUGUCUUGCCUGUCGUCUUUCCUCCUUGCUUUCAAGUUUACCUUUUAUCAGUUUUCUUUAUCUUCCUGUCCGCGCUCCUCAAGAUUCCCCUCCAAGUGUGUUACAAGUGCUGUUGCUGACUCUGCUGGUGAGUUGUGGGCGAGUCGGAUCAUUACUAACAGGUGGCAUCUGCAUCAGUGGUGACAGCGCCGGCACGGGGUGCGGGGUGGGGGGAGACUUCUCAGUGUUAUUCGCUUGACGCACGUGGCAACUACAGGAAUGAUGUUUGGUUAUGAAGUGUUUUUAUGCAAUAAUGUUAAGUCCUUGGUAAAAUGUCAGCAGAGUAAUAAAAACAAAAAGGAAAAAGCUUGACAAAUAACUUAAACUGUAUCAUAGGUUUGAGAUACGGCGCAAGGCUCAAUGCAAGGCGACUGGAUUACUACUAGAAAUGCAUGAGGGACAUGAAGGUCGUGCCUGCACGUGACAGGAGGAAUAAACGACUCGGCGAGAGAUUUCCAGAAUCGACGCCGAGAACCGGCUGCUGUAGCCACCGCGAUUCUUCCCCACAAGCAUUUAGAGGGCGAGUCGGAUCACCACUAUCAGGUGGCAUCUGCAUCAGUGGUGACAGCGCCGGCACGGGGGGCGGAGGGGGGGGGGGAGAACCAUCAGUAUUAUUCGCUUGACGCACAUGCAUCCAGUGGCGGUGGUUCCUGUUGCAGAGUCCGUCCGUCGUCAUUGUUCCUGCCCCGUCCUCUUGGCGUCACCUACCCGGACUCCACUCACCGGACUCCACCAAGGUGCCCUUCCGUGGUGUGCGUCUUCAGGUGGUGCACUCCCAAGAACCAGAUGAUACCCAUACAAAUCGAUUGUCCCAUGUGUAUCAGACUUGUGGACUUGCAGUGUUGCGAGUAACGAGCUUCCUAUUCCUAGUGUUCUAAGUCUUCGGACUCCUCUUCACCAUAAUAAAGUAAAUACAAUUUUUUUUUUUUUUAGGGGAAUGUUCUAGUUGUUCUCAGGAGAGUCCGAGGUAUCACAAAUACUAGUUAGUAUGUUCGAUAUGUACAAGCUAGGCCUGAUUACUACAUUUCCUUAAACGAUGACACGACGCUGCUCGCCCGGCAUCAGACACUUACUUCACCGAACAAUAAAGCUAUAAUAAUCAAGGACACUCCCUCCUGCGAACGACGAAGCCACAAUAAUCAAGGACACUCCCUCCUACAACAACAAACAUACCACUACCAGCCUC